CGCCGGGGCUCCGGGGACCCCCGGCGAGGCGGGGGCGGGGGCCGAGGAGCGCGAGCAGCCGGUGGACACGACCGGACGCGGGAGGCAUCUCCGGCCCAGCGGCGGCCGAGCUUCCACGUGUGUGAGCCGAGGAGCCCCGGCUCUCUGGCUUAGCAAGUUUGGGUUCUGCCUCAGCGGUGCUCGUUGGUUUGGGCUGCCGCUUCUCCGGAAACAGGCUCCUCGCUCACCUGCCCCGCUGGCCUUCAGGCAUUUAUUAAGCGCCUGCUGUGUGCAUGGGCACUGAGGUGGGAGGGGGCCGGGUGGCAGAUUCUCGUCAGCUUAGUUCCCUAUGUGGUCAGGGGAGUGGCAUCCUCGGGUGACUUUGCGAAUAGCAGAUGCGCGAAUGCCAAAUUACACUCAGCUGCUAUUAAACGCCUUCGGUAUUCGAGGCAUAGGUCUAGGACGGUCUGGGACACCAAGGCAGAAUGGAUACUACUCUCCCCUCCCCCCGGAGUUUACCUCCCUUCCGAGAUCACAUCCAGUUUAUCCUGUAUAGAUCUUGUGUGGCUAAGUGAAUUACUCAAGUUCCCAGCGAAAGAUUUUGGUGGAGCCUGAACUAGAACUCAGGUCAAAAGACUUUGUAACUAUGGUGUUGAACCAAAUAUCUAAAGUCAAUUAAAUUUAAAAAAAUUAAACC